rnacentral:rRNA from 1 species
CGUACGGGUGAGUAACACGUGGAUCAUCUACCUCUUAGUGGGGGAAUAACUCUGGGAAACCGGAGCUAAUACCGCAUAAGCCUGGAAAGGGAAAGCAGCAAUGCGCUGAGAGAGGAGUCCGCGGCCGAUUAGCUAGUUGGCAGGGUAAAAGCCUACCAAGGCAUUGAUCGGUAGCCGGCCUGAGAGGGCACACGGCCACACUGGCACUGAAACACGGGCCAG